GAAGGAGACACACCAAAGGCAAAGGGCCCUCAAUAAAGGCUCGCAGCAGUGUGGGGUCGUGAGAGACUCACCUCUGAGGGAGUCGAAGAAGAAAGUGUUGGUGGUGUAUGCUGAUGAUGUUAAGGCACAAGUGAUGGCCCUUAUGAAGCUUCUGCAGAAAAGAACUGAUUGCCAGAUUCUGGACUUGUACGACCCCCUGGACGUGGACAAAUUAAGGGAUGGGACAGGGUGGCUCGCAGCCAGACUCCUGGACCCAGCUACUGUGUUUCUCCUGGUAGCCUCCAUACAAGCUAGGAAAUUCCAGGUCCUCCAUGCCUCAACCAUGGAGGGUCACAGAAUCCAUAGUCUAGAGGACAAUACAUCUCCACACCUUAAGAAGCUGACAGAGAAAACACACUCUUGGAACCCUGAUUUUGUCUUUCCCACUGGAUGUUGUACGGUUGGACAUGCGAAGUCAGAAAAUACAUGUGUCUGGAUUAUGAAUAAGAAGGAUUCUGAGGGUUUAGACUCCUGCCCUACCAAGGCUCAUACAGGACUAAGCCCUCAGAGGCUCUCAACUUCAAGUCAAAGUUAUCCUGAUAAAGAAGACUUCAAGAGUAGGUCUCUUCCUGCUUUCAAACACCUGAUGUGCUCAUCAGGUAUCACGGGAUAUAAUUACUCCAACACCAGUGACCAACACCACCUUUCCAUUCUGAAGCUACGAGACCAAGACGCAAAAAUUGAUACAGAUGAUAAAAAAACAACUGAAGAGCAAGAGUCACAAGAAAAUGUAAUGGAAUGAAAACUGUCCAAGAGAAAGUUGAAUUGAGAUGUGACAAGACGGCAACAGACGAGAGUGGAAGUGUUACACAAGGACAAGGUGAUCAAACGAUGAUAGACUCAGUAGUAAAUGACAGUGCUGAGCAAGAGGUCUUCCACUUUCUUUUCCUUGACUUCCUGCAUAAGAUGCAAUCAUCUUUCUUCUCUCAAGAUUACAAUCGUCUUUACCAGAUAAAGUUUAAGGAGACCCCUGAGUACGCUGUGUUGGAUCACGUGACUCCUGGUCGUCUUUACCACCUGCCAGACCACCUGGACAACCUGCUCAGUACCUUCACCCGCCCCACCCACUCUUCUCUCUCCAGGCACCUCAUUUAAAAAUAAUUAGUUAUCCGAGGAGUUUAUUUUACAGUGAGGUUUUCCACCUCUGGUAACACGAUCAAGUCUACUGAUUCAAAUACUUCAUUAGAAACUCAUCCUGUUUGUUGUAGUACGACAGGAAAACCAUCCUGUGAUGCAGUAUGACAGCAGACCUCUUAUGUGAUGGAGUAUGAUAGGAAAACCACACUGUAUGAUGGAGUAUGACAAAACCAUUUUAUGUAUAUGUGUGUAUGUACUCACCUACAUCUGUCGCUGUAGGUGUCGAGUCUUAGCUCUUGGCCCCGGCUCUCAACAUGCUGCUUGCCAGAAUCACUUCCUCCUAACCUGGUGUACCUUAUUGUUCCUUCUCUUAAAACUAUAUGGAGUCUCUGCCUCUACCAUUUCUUCACCGAGAUUAUUCCAUUUUUCCUACCACCCUGAAACUGAGAAAAUGCUUUCUGUCAUCCCUGUGACUCAUCUGUGCCUUUAACUUUCAACUGUGUCCUCGUAUUUCUGUUUCUCGCUCUGAAACAGCCUUUGCCUGUUUACCCUAUCGCUUUCCUGAGUAUUUUGUUUGUUAUCAUAUCUUCCUUGGUUCUUCUGUCCUCCAAUGACGUUAGAUUCAGUUCCAUUGCCUCUUUUUAUAGCUCAUAGCCUUUAACUAAAAAACAAGCCUUCUUGCACACUUCUGCAUUUUCUCCAGUUUCUUAACAUACGUCCUCAGGUGUGGGUUUCAGACUGGUGCUGGUUACUUCAAAGUGGCCCUGACAUAUUUUGUAUAACGUGCCUGGAAAGACUGUUGAGAUUCCUAAGGCCAUUCUUAGAUGUGCCAGGCGAACAUUGGCUGCAGAGGUUAUUCGGUUGAUGUGAACCUCUGGCGACAUGCUAGGCAAUAUGCUCACCCCUGAGUCUUUUUCUUUGAGUGAGGUCUUCAAUCUCUGUCCCCCAAAACUAUACACUAAUUCUGGUCGUCUUUUCCCUUCCCCAAUCAUCAUGACCUUGCAUUUGCUGAAUUCCAACAACCACUAAUCUGAUCAAUCUUGCAGUUUGUCCGGAUCCAUUUGCAGCCUUUGCCUGUCCUCGUCUGUUUUUUUUUUUCUUCCCGUUAGUUUUACAUCAACAGCAAACAGGAAUGCAUUUGACUCAGUCCUGUUUGGAAUAUCAUUCACAUAAACCAGAAGCAGUACUUGCCCAAAUACCAAUCCUUGCAGCGCCUCACUUGUUACACUUCUCCUUUCUGGCGUCUCUUCCUGGACAAUCAGUCUUUGCCUUCUUCCUCUGAGGCACUAUGUGGUCCACCAGAGUAUGUUCCCUGUUAUUUCUGCCAACACCUGAAGUUUUUGACCCAAUCUCGUGGGGUACUGUAUCAAACGCCUUCUUGUAGUCUACCCAGUCCUCUCUCUUAUGUAUAUAUGCAUGCAUGUAUGUGUAUAUAUUUUUUAACACUGGCCGUCUGAGUGACCCGAAAAACACUUUCACCAUCAUUCACACUAUCACUCUUGCCAGAAGUGCUCAGAUACGACAGUUCAGAUGUUUGUGUGUAUAUAUAAAUACUCUUACCACUUCAUAAGAAAUGUAUUACCUGUGCGUUAAGGUUUUUUUUUAAUUGUAUUGCAAUGUAUGAUUUAGUAUAAGAGUAAGACAGAAUUAUUCUGUGUGAUAGAGUAUAAGGGAAAACCCAUCCUGUGUGAUGGAACAUUACAGGGAAAACCCAUCCUGUGUGAUGGAACAUUACAGGGAAAACCCAUCCUGUGUGAUGGAACAUUACAGGGAAAACCCAUCCUGUGUGAUGGAACAUUACAGGGAAAACUAUCCUUCGUGAUAGAUGUACAAAUGAAAAUUUUUUCUUCUUGAUGCGGUGGGAAUAAAAGAAAGUCAUUAGUAUGCAAGGCAUUUCUUGCUCUAAAUUUAUAAAAUGGUAAUUAGGUCAAUGUUGUUUCAUAGUGUUAAGUAUCUAGUUUUGAUAGUAAAACCGGAAAUAAUGUAAUAAAAAAACAAGGAAUAUGAAGGAAAUCUUGGAACCUUAAUGUGUAUAAAAUUAAGAGAAGGUUGAAAAUAUAUUACACAGUGUAACGAUAAUAAUGAAGACUGAAUCAAAUAGAACUUUGAAAUUUAUUGGGUUAUUGCAAAGUUGACUUGAAGACGACUUCAGUAGUCACCACCACUCUGGCCCAGUCCCUGGGUUGCUGUCCUGAUCAACCAGGCUGUUGGUACUAGCCCCUCAGGGAAGGUUCCUUGAUAUUGGUGAGGGGCUCUUGGUUUAGGGAAUUGGAUCUGUGCUCCAGUUCCCCGAAUUAAGCCUGAUGCCUUCCACAUUCCCCCCCAGGCGCUGUAUAAUCCUACGGGUUUAGCGCUUCCCCUUGAUUAUAAUAAUAAUAAUGUUGGUACUAGCGACAAGCAGUCCCGUGUAGCUUCCACAGCCUGGCUGAUCAGAAACUAACCUAACCCCUACGCUUUUGAAAAUAUCUAGGGAUGUGUUGGUAACUUCCCCGUGUAUAAGAAGGUAUGAUGAUGAAGAGUCUUGGUCUCUUUACACUUACUUCGUUACUUCGUGUACUUACUGCAACCCUUCUUUUCACUGAAGCUAUUCUGAACUAUCUGCAGAGAAUCUUCCUCUCGUAGGGAAUAAUUUAGUUGUGCAGAUUUGGGACUUAUCAUUCCAGAAUUUUCCAGCUUUAAAUUAUAUAUUUUUGUCUUCUAUAUUCCGCCGAGUACAAUUCAAGGGACUUCAGAUGUUUCAGAUAAUUUAGGUAUAUGACUGAGUUUAUUCAGGCAGUGCGGGAUCUCUGUACAUUUUUCAGUUCUGUUUGCCUACCUUAAGAAGUUGUUUGUAUGUAGCAGUGAUUCAGUCAUCAGCAAACAUGUGACUUAGAGGGUAUCAUUGGUUUGCCAUAUCUUGUUUUGAAGGUUGUACAUAUCCAGUCUGCAGAACAACCACUGUGAAAAAAUAGUGAAAUUCCAAGGGAUUUCGUGACUUCUUACAUCGUCAAGGAACUAUAAAAAUAAAAGAUCAACAGGAAGGCGUAUAAGGAUGAGACUACACCUCACCGUCACCUUACAACACCUCACUAUUUUUUCACAGUGGUUGUUCUGCAUAUUGCGAUAUCACUGUUUACUGUGAUCUUAAUGCAUAUCCAGUCUAUCGGUUUCCUUGCUUUUGUGAUAACAACUCUGUUGUUAUAAGAUCUGAUAUCUGAUAUUAUAGCUUCUUAGUCACUCAGUCCUCUUCCACUUUACUGAAUGAUUUCUGUUUUCUACUCUUCUGUGUUUGUUAUUCACCAUUUUUUCCAUAACUGAAAUCUGUGGUUCCUUUGGCCCACCGGAAGACCUGGUCGGUAUCAUCUUGAAAAUUUGCUUUGUCGUCACUUGAUGCCACUCACAUUAAUUCUAGUCAUAUGCAAAACAUUAUACAGUGCUAUGACUGUGUACUGUAUAUGCUCUAUUGCUCACUUAAUAUAUAACAGUGUAAACGAUAUCAGGCUUUUAUAUGAGUUUAAAAGUGAAAAAGGUUAUAUUUCACUUUACAGCGAGUUUCACUUUACUGUGGUAGCCAGGAACCUAACCUGGUACAUAAGCCAGGUCCUCCUAUACAUCCAAGACCAUGUCGCAAUGGUCCACCAAUUAUGCUUUAAACCCACGUUGCCCCGGGUUGUGCAAAUGUUGUGAUUUAAUACGUUUAACAAUCUUAGUUUUCAAAAUCUCAAAGAUUUUAAUAAUGUGGGACGUCAGUACUAUCAGUCUAUUUUUUUUUUCUUUUUAG